rnacentral:lncRNA from 1 species
GUAACCUUUACCUGUACCUGCAACUGGUGUUGUAGUAAUCUGUGAGCCACAGGGGACUCAGCAAUCUCAUUUCCAGAGGUAUCAAGACUAGCAAAGCUUAAUGGGUGAGGUAUGGUUAAGUGGUGAGGUAGCAGCAGCGGCUAAGCAUAUAUUUGGUGGCUAACUUACGAGUACAAGAAAUAAGAGGGGAAAGAUCUACGCAUAACGGACGUGAACUACCCAUGAUCAAAUGAAUGAUCCUGAACACCUACCUACGUCAGACAUAACCCCACCGUGUUCUCGAUCUGAGAAGGAACUCACGAAAGAGACAGUCAUGGUUACGCACACAGUUGGCAUAUUUUAAUUAAGUUAACUUCAAGUUAUCUAGAACCAGUGUUAAAC